CAUUUCUUAUAGACAAAUAAUUAUAAGUAGUCCCUGCUCAAUGAAAUAUUAAAUAGCUGCAUUUUGUACUAAGGUAGCAUAAUAACUUGCCUUCUAAUUAAAGGAUAGAAUGAAUGGGUUAACGCAGAAAUAGCUGUCUCUACUCUACCAAUAAAACUUAAUCUAAAGGUGAAAAAGCCUUUAUAAAAUAAAAAGACAAAAAGACCCUAUCGAGCUUUUAUCUAAUGUAAUAAACAAAUAGAUUUUUGUUGGGGCAACAUGAAUUCUAUACGCCAAUUCAAACAUACACAAAUAUCAUUAAAUUUCAUUGAAUUUUUUCAAGUUACCGUAGGGAUAACAGACUUAUCUUUCUAAAGAGUCCUAAUCGAUAGAAAAGUUUGGCACCUCGAUGUUGGCUUAUAAUUUCUAAUUGGGGCAACCCCCAAUUAAGUUGGUUUGUUCAACCAUUAAAAUUUUACGUGAUCUGA
rnacentral:rRNA from 1 species